AACUAACGCUGGCGGCGUGCCUAACACAUGCAAGUCGUACGAGAAAGUUGGCUUCGGCCGAUGAGUAAAGUGGCGCACGGGUGAGUAAUGCGUGGAUAAUCUGCCCUUUAGUUGGGAAUAACGUACCGAAAGGUGCGCUAAUACCUGAUAAUACUGCAUAACUACUGUUGUGUAGUCAAAGAAGGCCUCUGUUUACGAGCUUUUGCUGAAGGAUGAGUCCGCGUACCAUUAGCUGGUUGGUGGGGUAAUGGCCUACCAAGGCUACGAUGGUUAGCUGGUCUGAGAGGAUGAUCAGCCACACUGGAACUGAGACACGGUCCAGACUCCUACGGGAGGCAGCAGUGAGGAAUAUUGCGCAAUGGGGGCAACCCUGACGCAGCAACGCCGCGUGAGUGAGGAAGGUUUUCGGACCGUAAAGCUCUGUCGAGCGGGAAGAAAUGUAUCAUGGCUAAUAUCCAUGAUACUUGACGGUACCGCUAAAGGAAGACCG
rnacentral:rRNA from 1 species